GAACAACUUGCCCAACCCAUUGUUGGUUAUUUGGAGGAAGGAACAUCAAAGAUGGGCAUGAGUGCAAGUAGCCGGCUUUACUACCAGUAGCGCUAUGAAAAGAUGGUCCUCGGAAAAAUUCACAAACGGCACAUGAUACCAG